UUGAGUAUUUCUUAUAUACAUUUCAAGUGUUAUUCCCUUUCCCGGUUUCCGGACAGACAUCACCCUCCCCCCUCCCCUUCCUUCUGGGUGUUCCCCUCCCAAACCUCCCCCCAUUGCCACCCUCCCCGCAUAGUCUAGUUCACUGGGGGUUCAGUCUUAGCAGGACCCAGGGCUUCCCCUUCCACUGGUGCUCUUACUAGGAUAUUCAUUGCUACCUAUGGGGACAGAGUCCAGGGUCAGUCCAUGUAUAGUCUUUAGGUAGUGGCUUAGUCCCUGGAAGCUCUGGUUGCUUGACAUUGUUGUACUUUUGGGGU
rnacentral:lncRNA from 1 species